UCUGAUGUUCUUACUCUUUUCCGAUUCUUUUUCCAUUUUUUAUUAAACCUCUAAUAUAAUGUCAACUUAGAGGAUCAAUUACUACCACUUAAAUGUAUAUAUGUUAAACAUUGAGAGGCAUGUAAUGAUAACUGUGCUUUAUUUCUCAGAUUCCCAAUGCAUAUGAACUUUCUGAUUGAUCUAAAGUAUUGUCUUGUGGCAGGUGUCCCUGUGGGAUGGUAUUAUACCUUCGAAAGAGCAUGCAAAAUUCUCGAUUCAUACAACAAACAAGUAUCGUUUCACUGAUCAGGGAAGCAAUCUCCAAGGAAAAAAAUUCAACUUGACUUUGCACUGGCAUGUCAUGCCCAAAACUGGCAAGAUGUUUGCUGAUAAAAUAGUUAUGUCCGGUUUCAGUUUGCCAGUGGAAUAUAGAUGAGGACUUUUUUGUUGUGUAGGACUUGACUGUAACUUUAUCCUCGCCUUAUUCAAGGUGGAAUAGGGAGGAGAAAAAAAAAAAUCCAUGUUUGAGAAUGUUAGAGCAAGUGAUUUAGUGGCUCCUUUAAAUUAAUAGAACUUAAUCCAACUUUUGGAUUCUCAAUGUUGCUUUGGAGGAGAUUUACCAUGUUUCUGUUUAUGCGGUCAUUUUUAAGUUUUAGA